AACAUCGUCAUAGCCCUGGGACUACACAAACACUAUGUUCCGUUUGAAACAAGUGAAGCGAUCACUUUAAUCAGUUUUCCAAUCAAACUUUGUGCCAGUCUAUGAAUGAGAGUGUUAGUAUACUUUGUAUACAUGAAGACUAUUGAGUAUAUGGGGAUAUUUUGUGUGAAUGGAUACUUUAUUGUGUAUCUGAACGAUUUGUAUAUGUGGAUACUUUAUGGCAUGCCUGGAUAUUUUAGAAGCACAUUUUAUAGUUUUGUAUAAUUAAUUUGUGCGAGUGAGUACUAUAAAGCUUGUUUGACUGGGUGAUGAUUGUGUGUAUAAAUGAUGUGAUUUGGCACUGUUAUUGUGUGUGUUAUUAUAGGGAUAUACACAAGGAAUUUCCCUACCAGAGUGCAAUCUUUAUUCAUUAUGAUCUUGGCUGUAUUUCAGUGAACGUGAGAUUGUCCAUAGAUUUGUAUUUUUAGAGAUUCUAGAUUUGUUUUGUACAUAAAUUAAUGAUUAAGUUCAUUUUUUGAUACAGCACGGGGGAUUGUGCUGAGGGUAAAAUAAUUGGAGUUACUGCCUGUUCUACAGGUGUUUCAAUAAGGUGUCUCUAUACUACUGGGCUACAUACCUUUAUGGCUAUACAUUCUCUUUACUGGUAUACAUAUCGUCCUAUAAUACUGGUGAUAUUGAGUUCUAGGGGGGAGUUGGUCAUCUGUGGAAAUUUUGACAGAGGCCUGUGAUUUAUGAGUUCAUUCUUUAUUUUAUGUUGAUAUCGGGUUAACUUGGCCUCAAUAUUAUUGUUCUGGAGAGUUUAAAUAUCUGGGAGGGGGGUACGGGUUCUGCUCUAUUGGGGCUCUUAGUUAUGUUUGGACAUAAGUCCUGUUGAAGUUUAAUUGAAAAAAAUAUUUUACUUUAUGAGCAAAUUAGCUGAUCUGUUACAAAAUUCUGAUUUCAUUUUUAAUGCAAAGCAGUGCUUUGUUUUGAAUUUUUCCCAUGUUACUUCAAUGGGAUUUUUUGUUUGCAAGUAAUUAUUACUUGUUUAUGUUAGCAUUAUUCAAAGAGAGGUAACUCUGAUUUUUUUUGUGAACAGGGUAAAAGUUGAUGAGUUCUUUGUACACAAGUGUACCAGCCAUGUUAUAUUAAAACAAUUUAAACAAUC
rnacentral:misc_RNA from 1 species